rnacentral:misc_RNA from 1 species
UUCCCCACAAGAUAUACCCGACCAUUUACAACAAUCAGUACCUGAUUUCCAGCUUGACAGAAGACCUGACGGGUCAGAUUUGAUACCCGAUUUGAAUCCUAACAACCCGGUCUCAUCGUCCACGUGGCAGUUUGCGAGGCAAUGGUGUUGGAGGAUAAGGAGGAUAGAGAGGAAAAAGAAGAGAGGGAUAGGAAAUUGAGAGAAACAGAG